UGGCUCAGUUGGUAGAGCAUGGUGUUUGCAAACGCCAGGGUUGUGGGUUCGAUUCCCAU
rfam:Salmo salar isolate Sally breed double haploid chromosome ssa22, whole genome shotgun sequence.